GAUGAACGCUGGCGGCGUGCCUAAUACAUGCAAGUCGAGCGAACGGACGAGAAGCUUGCUUCUCUGAUGUUAGCGGCGGACGGGUGAGUAACACGUGGAUAACCUACCUAUAAGACUGGGAUAACUUCGUGAAACCGGAGCUAAUACCGGAUAAUAUUUUGAACCGCAUGGUUCAAAAGUGAAAGACGGUCUUGCUGUCACUUAUAGAUGGAUCCGCGCUGCAUUAGCUAGUUGGUAAGGUAACGGCUUACCAAGGCAACGAUGCAUAGCCGACCUGAGAGGGUGAUCGGCCACACUGGAACUGAGACACGGUCCAGACUCCUACGGGAGGCAGCAGUAGGGAAUCUUCCGCAAUGGGCGAAAGCCUGACGGAGCAACGCCGCGUGAGUGAUGAAGGUCUUCGGAUCGUAAAACUCUGUUAUUAGGGAAGAACAUAUGUGUAAGUAACUGUGCACAUCUUGACGGUACCUAAUCAGAAAGCAACGGCUAACUACGUG
rnacentral:rRNA from 1 species